rnacentral:rRNA from 1 species
UACGUAGGGUGCGAGCGUUAAUCGGAAUUACUGGGCGUAAAGCGUGCGCAGGCGGUGAUGUAAGACAGAUGUGAAAUCCCCGGGCUCAACCUGGGAACUGCGUUUCUAACUGGCAGGCUUGAGUGUGGCAGAGGGGGGGUGGAAUUCCACGUGUAGCAGUGAAAUGCGUAGAGAUGUGGAGGAACACCGAUGGCGAAGGCAGCCCCCUGGGCUAACACUGACGCUCAUGCACGAAAGCGUGGGGAGCAAACAGG